rnacentral:rRNA from 1 species
GAGACCUGGCGGCGUGCCUACACAUGCAGUCGAACGGAGAUAUAACGCUGCAGAGACUUCGGUCAAAGCUUGUUGUAUCUUAGUGGCGGACGGGUGAGUAACGCGUGGGCAACCUGCCUCAUACUGGGGGAUAACAGUUGGAAACGGCUGUUAAUACCGCAUAAGCGCACAGAGUCGCAUGACUCAGUGUGAAAAACUCCGGUGGUAUGAGAUGGGCCCGCGUCAGAUUAGCCAGUUGGCGGGGUAACGGCCCACCAAAGCAACGAUCUGUAGCCGGACUGAGAGGUCGGACGGCCACACUGGGACUGAGACACGGCCCAAACUCCUACGGGAGGCAGCAGUGGGGGAUAUUGCACAAUGGAGGAAACUCUGAUGCAGCGACGCCGCGUGAGUGAAGAAGUAUUUCGGUAUGUAAAGCUCUAUCAGCAGGGAAGAAAGGCUCGCAAGAGAGAUGACGGUACCUGACUAAGAAGCCCCGGCUAACUACGUGCCAGCAGCCGCGGUAAU